AAGCAGCCACUCCUUCAAAGAGUGCGUAAUAGCUCACUGGACGAGUGAUCCUGCGCCGAAGAUUUCCGGGGCUAAAACUUACUACCGAAGCUACGGCAUCAUUAUGAUGGGUAGGGGAGCUUCCCAUACGGGUUGAAGCAUGACCGUAAGGACAUGUGGAAAGUAUGGGAGUGAGAAUGUUGGCAUGAGUAGCGAGAUGUGGGUGAGAAUCCCACAGGCCGUAAACCCAAGGUUUCCAGGGGAAGGUUCGUCCGCCCUGGGUUAGUCGGGACCUAAGCUGAGGCCGAAAGGCGUAGGUGAUGGACAACAGGUUGAUAUUCCUGUACUACCGAUAACC
rnacentral:rRNA from 1 species